CCCACACACACGCGCCAACGUGUGUGCACAGGUCCUCUGCGUGAUAGGCCACCGAAUAGAUAGCGUCACCUCUCGGGUCUUUGGAUAUGCAGUUUUCUCUGUGGUGCUCCUUUUUGUUGCUGCUGCUUCGCCUUGCACGGCGGUACACCUUUCUCCUGUAAUUGUCUGGCAGUAUCACUCUCCUACGCAGACAACCCACGCUGACGCAAACGCAAGCGAACCGGGAAUACAGACGCCCAUGCAGGAAUCACCUCAUAUUUUUUCAUCCUUUUAUUCGCGUGCUCCCUGGCAUGUGUAUGUUUAGGUGUAGCUUCGGUGUUGCGUUGCCGCAGUAAGUCUCCCCAUCCCCCCCCCGCGGCUGCUUCAGCGUGCAGGCAAAUUGUGUGUGUGCGUGGGCGUGGGUGUGGCUCUAGCUAUCUCUCUUCCUUCGUCGGCGUUCUGCUCCCUUGUCGGUGCCUGUGCGUUCGCGCGUGCUUACUUCGGAAUUUUUUUUCCGUUAACAAGAGUGCGUUGCUCUGCCAUACAGCACGAGGCCAUACGUCCCUCGGCCCCUGCCACAGGCCUCAUCCGCGUGGUGCGAAGCAUGCCGUAGACACAGGCGUUGUAGCAGUGCGCCGACCCAGCCAUCUGAGAGCACGGCCUCUGCACAAAACUCUCCCCGCACGCACACGAUGCUGGUCGCCACCUGGUGCAUUCCCCUCGGGGGGGGGGGGAGGGGCGCUCAGGCCCCCCACACCUCUGCAGACAGCAGCGAGGGCCAGGGGUGCGUGGGAUAUGCGCUCGCGUCACGCUGACACUCUGCCUACCAUAUGCGUACUGCAAGCACGUGCACUGUCGCAGGUCGCUACGGCGCAACACCGUCCAGGACCUGAGCGCUGACGUCAGCAGCGAUACAUCGCCUUGGCCUCCCCACGUCGCGGGUGCCUGGCCCUGUCGUCAGCGGAAGUGUUUUGGCAUGGGCAGGGGAUAGGGAGGCUUGCCUGGCUUCUCCGCAGACAGUAUGAGUGGGGCACUGGACACCGAGAAUGCUGCGCGCUGAGGUGUGCGCGGCCCCCCCCCCUUUCUCGUCAUGGGGGCUCAUGUGAGGUGAGGCAAACAAGAAUGCAGAAAGAAACGUUUCGUGCACCGGCCGCUCCGUUGGUGAGUGCGCAACAGCCUGUCGUCCUCGUUGACGGAAGCCGUCUCUCUCUUCACCGUCCCUCUCCUGGCCCACCCUUCACCUUUGCGCCUCAUGGCGUCACCACCAACGCCGAAGCAGCCACCACCUUUUCUUGCACGAGCAGCACAAAGCGCCGCGCGCGGCUGCGGCCUGCCUUCCCGCCCCCAAAGCGCAUCCCCCCCCCCUCCCCUCCCCCUCGCAGCAGCACAAAGCGCCGCGCGCGGCUGCGGUCGAGAAAACGGUCGCGAAGAUGAACAAAGCGCGCGAGCUGCUGCACCCCACCAAUGGCAGCGCCGACGCCAAUAAGAAAGACGGGCAGAAGAAAAGCGCGCGGCAUGGCGGCAGUGGCCACCACAGCUCCUCUAAGGCGUUAUCGUCGACUCGGAGAGGCGGGCACCAGCAUGGCGAUAGCAGCACUGGUCGCUGGAGCGAGGAGGAAAAGAAGUGGACGCAGAAGCUUGCGGGGAACAAAGUCUUCAAGCGUCUGAUGCAGCCGGCGUACAUGGACAGCGGCACUGGCGGUCAUAGUCACAACCGCAACGACGGGAUCAGCGACUACGACGUCCCUCGCCUAGGUGAGAUCCCGGUACGCUCCAAAUACUAUCGGCCAGACCAGGAGAAGUCCCAUUUCGCGAAUCACCCCACCUACCUGCCGCUGGCUGAGCAGUGUGGGCCACCGCAGCCGUCCCCCUCCACGUCCCUCACGCCGCGGCAGGAACGGCACCAAAAGUAUGAGCAGAGUAACGACGACGAGGUCAGCGGCCAUGCCUACGGCAACAUGGGAGUAGAGAUGGGAGUCGAAGAUGACGACUGCGAGCAAGCGCAGCAGAUGCUCCCCAACAGCCACCUCGGCUGCCUGCGCGAGAGUUCUGUGAGCGGCACUCAAGGUUCUGGACUCUGCAUUCAAACUGCCAGCAUUGGCAGUAACGCGAGCGGCGCGUCGUCUAUUGGGCCGACUGGGCUGCCACUGAUGCCGCAGUUCCGCUGGAUCCCGAAGCAAGGCGGCGGCGGCCUCGGCUUCAACCCUUUCAUGCACUUUCGCUCUCGAACCCGGCAUGAGGGCAUGGCAUCAAGGCCCUCAGUGCCUGGGGCGGACGCCCCAAUGCCGUGGAACGAGGCGCAGCAGCAAGGCGACUGCAGGACGUCGGAGCUGCCGCGCGGCGCAACUUCCCCUGAGCAUCAGCAGAGGCAUAGCGAGGAUCAGUCGCAGGCCCCAGGUCGUCAAAAUAGCUACUCAAUGUUUUACGGCUGCACGUCACAGCUGCCAGCGCAGCAGUCGGCCCCACCGGCCCGCGCUCAUCGCGAAACGGGAGCGCUCUCCUUCUACGGCCCCAUCGGCUCCAUUGGUAUCGAGACUUCGCGCAAGCGGCGCGCCGUUGAGCGACAGAGCGGGACAGAUGGUGAAGCGGAGCGAGCCUACAAGGAGCGCUCCUCUCGCCGCCCUGUUGAGGGGGAGGCAACCGGCGUCCAGCUUCUCACGCAGCUCUGGUGCGAUGUAAGCCUGCUGCAUGGCGCUCGCGUCGUUGACUCCCCACGCCUGCCGCCCGACGACGGUGAGGGCGACGACUGGGCAAACACCAGCAGUCCCAGUAUUAGCGACAUCGACUCGAGCAUUGGCGACCGCGAGGCCGGUGAGGCGGCCAUGGCGGCACGAAAGAAGGUGCGGCAGCAUCGUCAGCAGUACUCAUCCCGGUCGCCGUCCUUUUACUUCAAGUACGAUGAUCUUGCGGCGCUCGGGGCCAAGAACAACCGCGGCGGCUCGCCGUCGGGGGCUGCCGCCUGUGUCGCACUGGCACAGAGGCCAGUGACGGUCCGCGCUCACCAUCAGCAGCACAACGGUCCAUCCGUCGUUAAGACCGCAUCGCUAGCCGGUGCUGCUGGUGAUCAAAGGGAAGUUGCGGGCGUGGGCAAGGUUGCCGCGCGUGGAGUGGCGAGGCAUGAGGUAGCGUCGUCGUCCUCGUCCUCUGGCAGCUCUGGCAACGGCAGCAGCGAUGAUGACUCGAACAGCGAUGAGGGCAGCGCAGGCGAGCGCUCCGCCUGCUUCGGCUCGGACGGCGAUGACGAUGAGAGCGUUGACUCAGACGGCGCAGACAACCCACGCAGUAGCGACAACGACGCCGCCGUCGGCUCGACCCAUCCGCGCAGGUGGAAGAAGGGUUCCUCGACGGGCGCCAGCGCCGGAACGGGUCGCAGCGUUCUCAAGGAUGGCCAGUACGAUUUUAUGAAUAGUUCCCUCAUGGACGAGUCCUUCAUGUCGCGCAUGCCGGGCUGCGGUGCUGGGAUGAGUCUGCUCUACGCACGUGACGACUACGACGGCGGUGGUGAAGAGGCGGCGGCAGCCGCAGCGGACCUCGUGCCAAGCCGCGCGCCGCAUCGCGUGUGUGCCCAAUUAGCAGGAAUCGCCGGAGCGAACAUGGCGCCUCACCCGCCAACCUCGCCUUCCAUUCCGACUCAGUCACAAGAGCAUCGCGGUAGCUCUUCGAUGCUAGGGGCGCGGGGGCCGGCAGUGCGACCUUCCGGCAGUGGAACUGCCGCCACCCUCGCCCUGCGCGGCCAACGCCGGGUGAGCAACGCCACUGACACACGCGCGCCGAGCGCUGCAGCUGCGCGGCACACUCCGCAUCAGGGAGGCGGCGCUGGCGACUCUAGCAGCCACAACACGGGCGGCGGCACCGGUGGCUGCGGUCUGGGGGAGCAGUUCGCCUACGGAAGCAGCUUUGGCAUGGGUAGUCGGCGAAAUUCCUACUCGGCAACGGCGUGCGACGGAGCUCACGAUGCCGCCUUCACGUCGCUGGGGGUGUAUUGGGUAACCAAAGGCAACGGCAAUACGGUGUCCCCAGGCGCCUCCGUGAUGGGCGGGAACGACGAGGCCUCGGCUAUUAUGGGGGUCUACAGCGACAGCCGGGACAGCACCGUGCCUCCUGGCCUCCUUGGCGUUACGAGUCGAGGUCCCACAACAUUCCCGGAGGUCGACGGUGGUUGCACUGCGAAAGCAGGCAACAGUGCCAGUCAGCCAUCAAAGUCGCUGUUCAUUGAUCGAGGAAUUUCUAACCCUGCCGCGCACAGCCGACCUCCCAGCACUGCGCAGGGGGUACAUGAACCCGUGGUACUGGCAUCCCCGCAUCAACCAGCCCGAAAAGCGAAGGCGGUGUACCCAGGUGGCUAUCUGGCCCCCAUCACGCCACCCGUCACCCCAAAGGCAACCGAGGCCCCGUUGCCGCGCCGCGCGCAGAGCAACAACGGCGGCGCUUCCACCCCAGGUGCCCGUGGUUUGGCCAAUGCAAGCACGACGCCGGGCCUGGGCGACACGGUAGGAGGCAAGUCUUUUACCUCGCUUGCGUACCAGCUACCAGGCAUAUAAGGUCGAGAGACGCGAGAUGCAGGUGGGAAGAUGCGCAGGGUCGCUGCUGCACACGCAUCGGGCCAGCGCCUCCUGCUGCAUAGAUCGCUUGUGAUCUCAUCUGCGUGUGUGUGUGUGUGUUGCUCCUUUUCCCCUCUCAUCGCCUUUUUCUCUCUUUCUUUGGCUUCUUUUCCUCUCUUCGCUCAGAAGUGGCGCAGCAGCGGCGGCAGCGAGAGGGGUAUCAUUCUCCCGAACGCCAACGCCCGCACGCGCGUGUAUGUGACGUAUCUUCUUUGUGCAGCCAUCUCGUGCAUGCCCUUUGCUUGCUUGUUUUCACGGGAGGAGGCAUGUGCUCCCUCUUUCUCCUCGUCAUCUCCCCCUCCCCACCUUCCCUCUGAGUACCUGUACGCGUAUGUGUGUGCGUGUGUGUAAUUUCUACCGGCGGCUCGCUUGCUCUCUCUCUUCGACAUGCCCUCUUUACGGCGACUAAGACACCCCUUCCCUCAUCCCUCUUGUGGGCACAUGUUCGCUUGCCGGUCGAGCGGCGUGGGUGGGUGACUUCAGUCGGCCCGCCCCCGCCCCCACCCCUGCUCAGCAGGCCGCCAUUAAGGAAGCGGCGAGUCCGAAAAGGGCCGACAACAAAAAAAAAAGGAGUGAAGCGAACGAACUCGGGAGAGCGAUACGACGACGCGUGUUCAUGUCCUUCUAGGGGAGAGUGCGUGUUCGAGACGGGGCGCCCACAGGCCCGUAUGUAUGUGCAUAUCUCUUGGCAUUUUUGUUCUUUUUAUGUCUUCAACGGCGAAGUCUUUUGUUUGUGUAGGUACGUGCGUGCGUGUCUUUCUUUCGUUUUCUCGUUUCCCCUUCCCCUGUGACGCGUCUGCUUCCUUUCGACGUGUGUGUCUGCGUCGGUGUAUAAGCACACACACACACACACACAUCGCAUGCACAUCUGCGUGCUUUCAUGCCCAUUUGUCCUGCUGACUCCCCUCCCUCCCUCGCUUCCUUCCUAUCUUACUCUUGGCUUUCCUUUUUUUUCUACCUGCGGCGUUGGCUAUUCUUUUUUUUUGUGCGCGUGCGCGCGUGCCUGUGUGUGUGUGUGUGUGCUGUUUUGAUUUUGAAUGCAUCGUUUUUUUUUGUUAUUUCCCGUUUUUGCUCCCUCCCCUGCCCCCCCCCGAUGAUGCGGGGACCACCUCAGUGCUGAGCCACAGGCCCCAGUAUUUCACCCUGCGUGUGUGGGGAGGCCAAGCAGCCGGCAGCAUGCCCUCCGGGUCUUUUUGCGGACUCUUGGCAUCAGCGGAGAACUCUGGGCUGGCGCAUUACCGAGAGUUGCAACGACGAUCACGCUUGAACCAGCUCGCUAUGAUUUGCGUCGAGGAUUCAGCAAGUAUGCGCAUCCACCACCUGUUUUCUCUGCCUUUGCCGCGUUGCAGUGAUGUUGAGCAUGAUCCAUGGGUCUGGCCUGCGCUGUACGCGGUGGCAUUGCGGUGGGCUGAACGACACCAGACAGUGCUAGUUGGCCCAGCUCCUUGGCGAACCUGCGAUGCAGGUCUGUAUUCGGCAAGAGAAGCGCAUUUCGCACCCCGACAGGCCUUUGGGGCAGUGGGCCUCGCGGGCAUUCAACGCUCCGGUGUCGCGGGAGAGAAGGGCGACGGUGGUGUCUCCGAGCACAUAAAACAGGACAUAUGGUCAGAUGUACGCCCUAGUACUCUUUGCGCAGUGUCCCCAUAUUACGGCAUGCAGCCGCUUGAAACGACUGAGGGAGAAGCAUGGCGUACGCAGGCAAGUGCACAGGGUCUCAAACGGCCCUUGCCUGCGGCUGGCCAAGACCCUCCCUGAGCUCACGCGGCACGCACCUAAGCUACCCCCUGCUGCCCACACGACAAGCGCCACCGCUACCCGCCCUCGAGCAGGCCGCUGGGCGCGGCUGUCUCGGAUCAAGGCGAUUCGGGGAAUCCGGACCGCCGUCUGGCGCCGCCAGCGCUUGCGCAUGUGCGAGGAAGAGACGAGGAAUGCCAAAAAGAGCCCCUGCGACGCACAACCCGAUUUGACGGCACGAUGGUACGUCCUAGAGGACCAAGGACUCAGCUGUGGUGGACUGCGUCUAUUCACUGCCCCGUUCGUGGUAGAAUGGACGCGUGGAAAAGUCGAUAACGUUCCACAAACGCCGCACCGGUCUCCAUCACAUCAGGCAUCCCCUCUCCUCUCGUUUUAUUAUGUUGCAAGGCGGAGUGUGUCCAUGUCUGGGGCGUGCGUGUCGACACUGUCAGAUAGGGCAAACAGAAAGCUUAAGCCUCAGCCUGACAGUCGCAUGAACUGCCGUGAAACCGACUAGUUUGCCGCGCUCUUUUUUUUUGCCCUCUCCUCUUGUCCGUCCUCGAGGCCUCAAGGCCUGCACUGUUUCUCCACGCUCCUCUAUAUGCGUGUGUUGGCCCCACCACACGCCGCCCGUCUCGCGUUGGAGGCGGACCUCGAGCCUACCACUUCGUACACUUACCUCCCCAGGAAAC
rnacentral:misc_RNA from 1 species